rnacentral:lncRNA from 1 species
AUGCUUACAUCAGAGCACCGGAAGACUCAUGGCUUCAACAGUGCAGGGAGAUUUCUCACCACUUACAAGAAGGACUAUGGACCCAUCAGGGAGCGCUACCCACAUCUGAACUCCAGAGAUGAGCCUCCUCCUUCUUCUGCCUUCAUGUCUUCAUUUGGCGUCCUCACACCUUCCAUUUCCGUGGCAACUCAGGAUGUUGGCUCCGCCCUGAUGGUACACUGGACGCAGGAUGCAGGAGUUGCCAGGGGGACUGAGCUCUUCGUUGGUCAAGAGGAUGAAAGUCAGCGGCGCCGUGUUUGUGAUGGAUGUGGUGGGAAAGCAAACAUGUUGCAGCAGCAGGAGGCAAACGAUACCAAGACUGAGAUUGUCUACAAGGGAGGUGUGGUUGUGCUGUCUUCCACCGACGGUCCAUCCAGCUGUAAUGAUUUUCUAAGAAAUUUACUGAGAGAAAGCGGACUGCAGCACCUGCUCAGCGCUCCUCAAGGCUGGUCUGCUGUUGACAUAAACAAAGAUGACCAACACUUGGAUAAGAGUGCCUUCUCGUGGGGUUUGAGCGCCUCCUCCCUCCAGAACCCUUUAUCUCAGGGCAGCCGCUGUGCAAGGGGACCUGAGUGCUUUGAGCUGAAAACCAUCUGUCAGAGCAGCGCCCUGCCUCAGGCCCACGUACAGCCAGCAACAGAGACCAGGAGGAAGCUACCGCAAACAGAAUACCAGUUCAACUAUGGCCCUAAGAUACAGAGUGGUCAAAGGAAGCUCUGUGUGAGUAGCCUGACACUUGCAGGCUUUUGCCCUGUCCUUAGUCUGUUUAUACUCUCAUGUCUGUCCCUUUAUCUUGUGUAUUUCCACCUAGACUCAGCAGGAUGCCUUCUCCGAUCGCCCACCUUGUCACUGGUCCUCAGUCUGAAUCUUGACUCAAUACAGAUCAUUCAGAAAAAAAUGCUGAAUUUUUUGUAUUUUGAUUUAGACUUAAAGUGCAGCAUGUUAGUAUGA